rnacentral:lncRNA from 1 species
AUAAAUAUUAAAAUGCAAUCAUCUGUUUAUGCUGAGCACACGCUGGGAUGCCUGUCAUAACACUGUCCCCAUUUCUCCUGCAUGUAAUUCGUUUGCAUGUUAAUAUCAUUUAUUUCUAUGUAAGCCUCAGUUUCCAGGUUUGAAUAUAAUUCCACUUUUUGAUGACAGUAAUGGCCCCGUAAACUGCACAAUUGUAGUUAAAUGGGAUUAUUUUAUGAUAACAUUAACUUGGCAUUGUAUUGGGAUGGAAGAGAAAACUGUCAUCAAAGGGAGAUUGUCUAACAGUUACAUCUCUUUGAUUUAUUAUGUGUUUUCUGAGUUGCUGAACUGCUGGGGUGGUGGUAGGGCAGCUAACAGCCUGUUUGUCACGAGCAUACGUAGAAACAUUUUGUCAACUGUUGAAUAAGUUGCUGUUAGUAUAAAUUGUGCACAUGCGCAGACUUUUAAGCAGUUCUUCUUUCCUUUGAUUUUUAGAAAUACUAAACCUUUGUGAGUGUGUUUUAGAGGCUAGGCACUUCCAUAAGAGUGGUGAAAUUAGUGAGUCACAGUGAUGGAUUUGGUACAACAAAUAUGCCACCAGCCAUGCAGACAUCCUUCCCAGGGAUCAACAAUGACCCUUGCUGCAGGCAACCAUAAAUACUUGUUCACAAGAGAUGGACAGCGGUGGCAGCAAUACCCCACCUGGAAAACAUCAGUGAGUCUUUUCACAAACAUAUUUUAAAUGCUGAGAGCUAUCUGAGCAGGCAGUCACUGGAAGAAAAGAGAAUCCUACCUUCCUGAUACACCUAGGUAAUGGAAACCUGGUUACCCUUGCUCUGUCUACACACCAUUAGCUGUCAAGUCUCUUCUCUGCUUUUGACUCUACACCACAUGGCACAACAAACUUACAAAUUAUUGCUUAUACAGAAGAGGAAAUGGGGCCCAGAAAGGUACAGAACCUGUCUCUAGGUCAUCCAUCUGGUGAGAGAGACCGUGUAGUAUAUUCUAUUGUUUGUGAAUAGCACAUAUAAAGGACAGUGCUAUGAUUUGGGUGAUGCCCCCCCCCAAAGGUCUAUAUGCUGGACACUUGUUUCCCAGCCCCUGGUAAUUUUGUCCAGCAGUAGACCCUUAAAGAGGUGGGCCUUAGUGGGAAGACCUCGGAGUAUUAGAGAAGUGCCCAGUGGAGAGGACUGUGGGACCCUGGUUUGAGGCAAUCCUUUGUUCUCUAGGCAUCAGAUGAACCUUUUCUCUCCUUAAGUUGACUAGAUUGGGUGUUUGUUAUAGUGAGGGACAGCUAGCUAAUACACAUAGCAUGUGGGUGAAGUGGCUGUGGUAGAUUGUGGGGACUAUGGUCCAUCUGGACAGAUGGGUAGAAUCUAACUUGUG